UACGGGGGGGGCAAGCGUUGUUCGGAAUUACUGGGCGUAAAGGGCUCGUAGGUGGCCAACUAAGUCAGACGUGAAAUCCCUCGGCUUAACCGGGGAACUGCGUCUGAUACUGGAUGGCUCGAGUUCGGGAGAGGGAUGCGGAAUUCCAGGUGUAGCGGUGAAAUGCGUAGAUAUCGGGAGGAACACCGGUGGCGAAGGCGGCCCCCUGGUUGGAUACUGACGCUGAGACGCGAAAGCGUGGGGAGCAAACAGG
rnacentral:rRNA from 1 species